rnacentral:snRNA from 1 species
UUGGGUCUACCUAUAACU